UACGGGGGGGGCAAGCGUUGUUCGGAAUUACUGGGCGUAAAGCGCGUGUAGGCGGCUCUGCAAGUCGGGUGUGAAAUCCCACGGCUCAACCAUGGAAGUGCACUCGAAACUGCAGGGCUAGAGUCCUGGAGAGGAAGGUGGAAUGCUUGGUGUAGAGGUGAAAUUCGUAGAUAUCAAGCGGAACACCGGUGGCGAAGGCGGCCUUCUGGACAGUGACUGACGCUGAGACGCGAAAGCGUGGGGAGCAAACAGG
rnacentral:rRNA from 1 species